AUGGGUCAGACUGUGACAACCCCUCUGUCUUUGACUCAAGACCACUGGAUGGACGUUAGGGCGAGAGGAUGGAACCUAUCAGUGGUAGUUAAAAAACAACCUUGGCUGACUUAUUGUUCCUCGGAAUGGCCCACGUUUGGUGUUGGAUGGCCAUCCGUGGGGACUUUUGAUUUACUAACCAUCAGGGCCGUGAAGGCUAUUGUUCUUCAGGAAGAAGCGGGGUCUCACCCGGACCAGCAGUCAUACAUCGUAGUGUGGGAGGACUUGGCACGAUCCCCACCCCCGUGGGUCCGUCCAUUCCUCCCACCCCUCCGCCCCGGCACUAAGAUCCUGACGGUCCGGGAAGAUGAUGAGAAGGAGAAAACAAAACCGGAACCUAAGAAAGAGAGCAGGCAUAGCCCGCUGCCUGCGCAUCCCCCUAAGAUCUACCCCGAGAUUGAAGAGCCUCCUGAGUGGCCUGAUUCCCCACAGCCCCCUCCAUACCCUCAGGCUCCCCAGCCCUCGGCUGCUCCCAUGGCUCUGCCCUCUGCCCCUCCUAUGGCUCAAGGAAUUGGGGGAGGAGGGCCUUCAGCUGGAACGAGAAGCCGUCGAGGAGCCUUCCCGGAAGGACCAGGAGAUUUGACCGUAGCACUCCCUCUCAGAGCAGUCGGGGCUCCCCCUACUGACCAAAACGAUUUACAGCUAUUACAGUAUUGGCCUUUUUCCUCCUCCGAUCUUUAUAACUGGAAGACUAACCACCCUUCUUUCUCUGAGAACCCCAGAGGGCUCAUGAGCCUAAUUGAGUCACUGAUGUAUUCCCAUCAGCCGACGUGGGACGACUGCCAACUACUCCUACAAAACCUCUUCAUCACCGAGGAGAAGGAGAGGAUUCUCCUCGAAGCUCGGAAAAAUGUCUGAGACGAGACUGGGCGACCAGUCCAGACCCUGGUCGAGAUAGAGGAAGGAUUCCCACUGACCUGACCCCAUUGGGAUUAUAACACGGCACAAGGUAGGGAACGACUGUCCAAUUAUCGCCGGGCUCUGGUGGCGGGUCUCAGAGGUGCUGCACAUCGGCCCACCAAUCUGGCUAAGGUAAGGGAGGUCAUGCAAGGGGCAACAGAACCCCCUUCAGUUUUUCUAGAGAGGCUUAUGGAGGCAUAUAGGAGAUAUGCCCCGUUUGACCCAACGUCUGAGGGACAACGGGCUUCAGUGAUUAUGGCUUUUAUUGGACAGUCAGCCCCCGACAUUAGAAAGAAGUUACAACGGAUCGAGGGGCUACAGGACUACACAAUAAGAGAUGUGGUGAGAGAGGCAGAGAAAGUGUAUCAUAAGAGAGAGACAGAGGAAGAGAAGUUAGAGAGAGAGAGAAGAGAAAAGAGAGAAGACGAAGAUAGAAGGGAUCAGAGACAAGAGAAAGUUUUGACUAGGAUUCUGGCCACAGUAGGAGAGAGAGAAAGGGGAGACGGGACUAGACAGCUAGGGAACCUGGGAGAUGGAAGAAGGCAGGGAUCAAGGAGGCCCAGAGGAGAUCGACCGCGUCUAGAAAGAAAUCAGUGUGCAGUCUGCAAAGAUACUGGUUACUGGGCACGUGAAUGCCCCAAGAAGAAACAGGAGGUAAAAGUAUUGUCCCUAGGAGAUGAUGAAGACUAGGGGAGACGGGGCUCCGUCCCCCUCCCCAAGCCUAGGGUAACUUUAGACGUGGAGGGGACUCCUAUACAUUUUCUGGUCGACACGGGCGCUGAGUUCUCUGUUCUGCGGACACCGUUGGGAAAAUUAAAAAGGGGUGAAAAGAGUGUAGUGAUCGGGGGCCACUGUGCAAAAAUCAUACCCAUGGAAUACCUCCCGGACAGUGGAUCUAGGACGGAACAGAGUGACACAUUCAUUCCUAGUCAUACCGGAGUGUCCUAUGCCCCUGCUAGGGAGAGACUUGCUGACCAAAUUAAAGGCACACAUAACUUUUGCCUCUCAUCAACCAGAGGUAUCCUGGGGAAUAGGAGAGCCUCGGGCCCUAACACUAUCUCUACAAUUAGGAGAAUACCAGCUCUACCAAAAUAAACCGAGACUUCCCGAGGGAAUCCAAGACUGGCUUAACCGAUUCCCUGGAGCAUGGGCCAAGACAGGGGGGUAUGGGAAUGGCAAAACAAGUUCCCCCAGUGGUAAUUGAGCUUAAGUCUGGAGCCACCCCCAUUGGGGUCCGACAAUACCCCAUGAGUAGGGAAGCUAGAGAGGGCAUACGCCCUCACAUUACCAGACUCAUUCAACAAGGAAUUCUGGUUCCAUGCAAGUCUCCAUGGAACAGGAACACCCCCCUUCUCCCCGUAAAAAAGCCAGGGACCAAUGACUAUUGCCCAGUGCAAGAUCUUAGAGAAGUUAAUAAGCGGGUCCAGGACAUCCAUACUACAGUGCCAAACCCCUACAACUUACUCAGCAUGCUACCACCUGAGCGGAUAUGGUACACUGUCUUAGAUCUCAAAGAUGCUUUCUUUUGUCUGAGAUUACAUCCCAACAGCCAACCCUUGUUCGCCUUUGAAUGGCGCGACCCCGAGAGUGGACAAGUCGGACAGCUUACAAGGACGCGGCUGCCCCAAGGAUUCAAAAACUCACCCACGUUGUUCGAUGAGGCUCUGCACCGAGACUUGGCCUCUUUUCGGGCCAAAAAUACACAGGUAACUCUCUUGCAGUGCGUUGAUGACCUUCUACUGGUUGCGGAAACUCACAAAGAUUGUGAAAUUGGGACUCAAAACCUCCUGGUUGAGCUAAGCGAACUGGGAUACCGGAUCUCCGCCAAAAAGGCACAGUUAUGCCAACAGGAGGUAACUUACUUGGGAUAUACCCUAAGAGAUAGACAGAGAUGGCUCACGGAGGGCAGAAAGCAGACGGUGAUGCAGAUUCCAACCCCGACCACAUCUAGCCAGGUGAGAGAAUUCCUGGGCACUGCGGGUUUCUGUAGACUGUGGCUCCUAGGGUUCGCGACUAUGGCAACCCCCCUAUACCCCUUAACUAAAGAAAAAGGAGAGUUCACCUGGACUAAAGACCAUCAAUUGGCCUUUGAAACUCUCAAGAAGGUGCUGCUGCAGGCCCCGGCACUAGCCCUACCAAAUCUAAGUAAACCUUUUAUCCUAUAUAUUGAUGAGAGAAAUGGCGUGGCCAGAGGAGUCCUAACCCAGGCCUUGGGGCCUUGGAAAUGACCGGUGGCCUACCUAUCAAAGAAACUGGACCCUGUGGCUAGUGGGUGGCCUUCCUGUUUACGAGCCAUAGCAGCAACAGCUAUACUGGUCAAAGACGCUGACAAGCUGACUAUGGGACAGAGUGUUAUGAUAGUGGCUCCACACUCGCUUGAGAGCAUUAUCCGACAGCCACCAGACCGCUGGAUGACCAACACCCAGAUGACUCGCUACCAGAGUAUUGCUGACUGAACGAGUGAACUUUGCCCCCCCCCCCCAGCUAUCCUCAAUCCUGCUACCCUGUUACCUGAGGCUGGUGAAGCCCCUAUACACAAAUGUGAGGAAGUGUUGGCAGAAGAAACUGGAGUCCGGUCAGACCUCACAGACCAACCAUGGCCAGGGACAAUGACUUGGUACACCGACGGAAGCAGCUUCGUGGUAGAAGGUAAGAGGAGGGCCGGGGCAGCGGUGGUGGAUGGAAAGGCUGUCAUAUGGGCCAGCAGUCUGCCUGAGGGCACAUCGGCCCAAAGAGCAGAGCUUAUUGCAUUGAUCCAGGCCCUAAAGCUGGCAAAAGGAAAGACUAUUAAUAUUUACACAGACAGCCGGUAUGCCUUUGCUACAGCGCAUAUCCAUGGGGCAAUAUACCAGCAGCGUGGACUCUUAACAUCUGCUGGAAAAGACAUUAAAAAUAAAGAAGAGAUCCUUAGCCUGCUAGAGGCUGUUCACUUGCCCCAUAAAGUGGCAAUAAUACAUUGCCCAGGACACCAAAAAGGGACCGGACCCAUAGAAAAAGGAAAUCAAAUGGCAGACCAGGAGGCAAAGAAGGCAGCUCAGGGACCUAUGACUUUGACAAUAAAAACUAAAUUUCAACCAGAGACCAAAGAGACUGACAAAAGGACUCUCAAAGAAGAGGGGCGAGAAUAUUUGGCUGAUAUACAUCGCCUUACCCAUCUGGGGGCUAAAAAGUUAAUAGAAUUGGUUAAAAGGUCCCCUUACUAUAUUCCUGGAUUAAAGAAGGCUGCCGAAAAUCUGGUCAAAAACUGCCGUGCCUGUGCGUUUACUAAUGAUGGAUCCAACAGGCUCCUAGAAGGAAGCCGUUUGAGAGGAGAUAGACCCGGAACCUAUUGGGAAACUAAUUUUACGGAGGUAAAGCCUGCCCGGUAUGGAAAUAAAUAUCUACUAGUUUUUAUAGACACUUUUACAGGCUGGGUUGAAGCAUUCCCUACCAAAAACGAGACUGCCAACGUGGUGACCAAGAAGAUACUGGAAGAAAUCCUACCCCGUUUUGGGGUACCCAAGGUAAUCGGGUCAGACAAUGGGCCUGCUUUUGUCUCCCAGGUAAGUCAGGGAGUGGCCAGGCAACUGGGGACCAAUUGGAAAUUACACUGUGCAUAUAGACCCCAGAGUUCAGGACAGGUAGAGAGAAUGAAUAGAACAUUAAAAGAGACCUUGACAAAAUUAGCCUUAGAGACCGGCGGAAAUGAUUAGACAGUCCUUCUCCCUUAUGCCUUAUUUAGGGUUCGAAAUUCCCCGGGCCCUUUUGGUUUGACCCCUUUUGAAUUGAUGUUUGGAGCUCCUCCACCCAUUUAUAUGUCUAUAACAGAUAAAAUCAGCCCUGACAUCUCUUUCUCUCCCUCUUCCAACCUCUUGAUUCGGCUCAAGGCCUUAGAGACAGUAAGAAAAGAGAUAUGGACACAAUUAAGAGAAACCUAUAUUGCUGGUGAUACACAGGCAUUGCACCAGUUUGAAGUGGGAGACGUCGUCUUAGUGAGGAGACAUCGAACAGGAAACUUGGAGCCGAGGUGGAAAGGACCAUAUCUGGUACUGCUGACGACGCCCACCGUGGUCAAAGUUGAAGGAAUUCCCACCUGGGUCCAUGCGUCUCACGUUAAGAGAGCACCCCCUGAAGCUGAUCCAGAUAGAUGGACGCUGAAAAAGACUACUAAUCCUCUUAAGUUACGCCUGUGUCCUAGGGGCGACCUUUCACCAGAGACUUCAAUCUGCCCGAGGAAGGUCUUUAACUGUGCUUGA